UGUUGUCGGGGCUUGUCCUUGUCCCUGUCUUAGUAGUGAUUACGUCCUUAUCAUGGGUAGAUGGAUAAUAAUGAAAUUGCAGAGAAACGGAAGCAUUCAAAAUUUUUUUUUUCUUGCAAAAGCAUAGACAGGAUGGAUAGACUACCGUAUGCAGAGAUCUGAGUGGAGUAUGAAGAGCAGAUUUUUGGUACUGUGAAUACUCCGAAAAAGCCUGCAGUGCACACAGAUUGAGAAGGCAGCAUUGCAGUCAGUGAAAAGAUCUAUCUAGAAAGGGAAGUGAAGAAGACUGACUGACCCAAUUUGGCCAUCUUCCAGAUCGUUAUGGAGCUACCACACCUGGCCGUAACGAAGAGCAGCACUGCCAGCUGCCACCAUCGCAAUGAUUACGUUAUCAUCGUCAUCGUCAUCUCAAGAUUUAUCAGGAAAAGAAGGGAAAAAAAGAAAA